rnacentral:rRNA from 1 species
AUACGGAGGAUCCGAGCGUUAUCCGGAUUUAUUGGGUUUAAAGGGUGCGUUAGGUGGUUUAAUAAGUCAGCGGUGAAAGUUUGCAGCUUAACUGUAAAAAUGCCGUUGAAACUGUUAGACUUGAGUGUAAAUGAGGUAGGCGGAAUGCGUGGUGUAGCGGUGAAAUGCUUAGAUAUCACGCAGAACUCCGAUUGCGAAGGCAGCUUACCAAGCUACAACUGACACUGAAGCACGAAAGCGUGGGGAUC